UAGGGAAUCUUCGGCAAUGGACGAAAGUCUGACCGAGCAACGCCGCGUGAGUGAAGAAGGUUUUCGGAUCGUAAAACUCUGUUGUUAGAGAAGAACAAGGACGUUAGUAACUGAACGUCCCCUGACGGUAUCUAACCAGAAAGCCACGGCUAACUACGUGCCAGCAGCCGCGGUAAUACGUAGGUGGCAAGCGUUGUCCGGAUUUAUUGGGCGUAAAGCGAGCGCAGGCGGUUUCUUAAGUCUGAUGUGAAAGCCCCCGGCUCAACCGGGGAGGGUCAUUGGAAACUGGGAGACUUGAGUGCAGAAGAGGAGAGUGGAAUUCCAUGUGUAGCGGUGAAAUGCGUAGAUAUAUGGAGGAACACCAGUGGCGAAGGCGGCUCUCUGGUCUGUAACUAACGCUGAGGCUCGAAAGCGUGGGGAGCAAACAAG
rnacentral:rRNA from 1 species